rnacentral:snRNA from 1 species
AGGGCUUAAACUUAAGAGUAAGGAAAAUAACGGUUUGUGGUGGUGUCCAAAUCAUUACUGCGAGCAUGAGAUGUAUUUUUGAGCAGGUAAAGAUUGCCCCUAAGGUGACCAACCUG